rnacentral:sRNA from 1 species
GUAUGAGUUGUUUGCUUGCUGGUUAUCCCGGGCUCUGGUUGGGGCUCUGGUUGCCAAAAGGCCUCUCUCAGCUGUUGUGAGUUUGCAGGCAGGAUCUGGGAGAUCUGAUUCAGCUCUCUGCUCCCCAGGAUGGAGACAAGGAUUGGAAGAAACAGCCCUUUAACGGCGGCAUUCCUGGUCAGAACUAGUUAUUAGUACUCGCGUCCGGACUUCUGAAGUUAAAAUGGAUAGUCUGAAAGCCGGAGCAACUGCGAGUGAAUUCUAGGACCUGGGAAGUGAAGACGGGAAGAAGCCAGAGGCCAUCUUUGCCUCAUACAAUUCGUUGACAUCCUGAUGACAGUUCCAAAAUGGAUGAGGAGUCGUUUCCUUACUGAGGAGAUAUCUUUGGGAUGGGUAAGUGAGGGGCCUGCAGUCACCCCAGAGGUAGAGGGGUUUGGGGGGCGGGUUGAGAGCCAAGAGUCAACUUAAGUCCAGGUUGAAGGUUUGCCCACACUCCACACUUUCAGCAAAACUGAGUGCUUUUUGUUGCCGAGGGUUUUCACCUUUCCGUAGGUACUAAAAUGUACCUUUGCAAGGAGAAAUAGUUAGGAUUUGCUUCCAAGUAACCCAUGAUUGAAGGGUGGGGUCAAAACAGGAGAAUUAGACACAAAAUAGCAACUUUGGAACUGGAAAUUGGGGAAGGUAAGAGAUGAGUUCCCGUGGUAUUGCGCUUCUCUGUGUGUAAUCUUCCAUAAUGAAACAAAACUCUGGACUGACGAUCUUUAUGAGACCUAAAUUACCUCUUCUAUGUGCUUUCUUAACAUGAUUCAACUUCUGGGGACUAAGUCAGCACCUCAGAUCUUCUUUCCUUUUUUCCCUAUUUUAUUAAUUCUCUUUAAACACACACACACACACACACACACACACACACACACACACCCCAAAACCUUGCCAGAAAUGGAGACUUAUGUCCCUUCAAAAGAAAAUUCUAAGUGACACUGUUUUCCAAGUCUACUCAGCAGGGCACCAAACAGGGUGUACUCUGAGCUCUCUGCUGGAAACAUUUGCCAGAAGCCACUGCACCUUAGGACAAAGUAUUCUUCAGCUUUAAUGCGAUUAAUUGAUUGACUAAAAUUCCAAGACUCAUUAACUUCCCAGUUAACGAGAAUGAAGAUGAUGGCUGCAGACAGAAAAUGCAUGAGUAAGUAUUCAAAGAAUAAUAAAAUAAUACUAAAUAUUGACCUAACUUCUGAGGAAGAAAGAAAUAAAACUGACAAGGCCAACCACAGCCAACACCAAAACAAAUUACAGAUGGGCUAAAAAGUAAAUCAAAAAUAAUUAGGAGGCACUAGAUAUUAAAUGUUAUUUAAUCCUGCAUGAAACUCAAAGGCAGGAACAGAAAGCACACAACGUUUACAUUUUGUGAUUCUUUAAAACUUAGAUAUUCUGCCAAAAGAGGAACGAAAAAGGUAACCAAAAGGAAAAUGGUAAAUGGACAGGGCUUAAGAAUGGGAAAACCAAUUAACUUGAAGAGUUUUUAGUACGUCAUUGGAAAGAUGGCGCCCAAACAGGCUUUUCAAAGAAAAUGUAAAUUUACUGUAAGGGAGCAGGAAACCUAAGAAGAAUAUGUUCAUCUCUAUAAGAAUGUGUUCAGGAAGAUCACUGCAAUUUUGUGUAUGAAGUAACAGUGAGAAAAAAAAUGGGAAUAAAUCUAAGAAUACAGAUUUACAAAACCUUUGCAAAGAAAUGACCGAACUCUUAAAACCCAUGAAUAAGUGGGCAUGUGAUACUAAUAGGAAGAUUAAAUAUAAAAAGAUACAGUCUCUUAGCAGUAACAAAAUGUAACAUUAAUCACAUCUACCCACAUUACACAAGUCCUGAAGGUUAGAAUAGAGAAUAGCCCAGGCAGUUGCAGUGAAAGAAUAGUUCAAAGAGCCAUGAUUCAGGGACAUAGUAUCCUUUCUGUAUCUCUUCCACAGAGGAAGAAACAGUGCCACUAGGGUCACAGAUGGGACGGGCCCAGGAAGCACAGUUUAUCCAGUGACUUCCUGUGAGUCAGGAACAGGUGUUUUCAUUGCUAACAGACACGCAGAGGGCACCAGGUUAGAUUUCAAUUUGAGGCUCCACACAGUCCACCCUGAAAUCCCUACAUAAGCUACAGCUGUACAAUAUAUGGAACUUUCUCUUAUCAUCAAAUUAUUUGGAUAAAGGGACAGAGAAAGUAUAAAAGUAUACAGUAUUAUGCUGACAGAAGGAUGUGUGAGAAAUGUGUGUGUGAUAAUAUAUAUUCAGAAAAAUAUUUAUUAUAAUAAUGUAUUAAAUAAUGUAUUAUCCCUAAUUAUUAUUCUAAUAAUAUUUUCUAAGUAUAACCUACUCAGUCUGUAUAAUGUUACUUCUAUGCAUUUCAUGGCUGACUAUUUGGUAUUGAACAACCAAAUUUUUGCCCAUCUUCCCUAAGUAAAACUAUUUCUCUUGAUUUCAGCAUUCCUUAUCUGCCUAUAGUUCUUUUUGCAGACUUGAGGUUUGUGGUCAUUCCCUCCUGCGCUUGCCAAUUAGACAAUGCUGUUUUCUUUGUUCAGGCAGUCUUGGGGGAAACCAAGGACAAUACCAUAGCCUGUAUGUUCUUGGAGGCUCUUGGACAGUACUCUAUAACAACUCAAAAGAGGGCUUCUCAUGUCUGGUGUUGGUUUUUUAUUUUGUUUGUUGUUUGUUUGUUUUUAAGGUGGUGUGUGGCUCUUGGAGGAAGCAUUGUCAGCCUAGAUAAAAAGAUUUCACUUGAACUAUAGAUGUAUAUUUAUUUAUACAUACAAACUUAUGUGUAUAAUAGCUUUUCAGGUAAAUGGCUAAUAAAUGACCCCUUAUUACUUCUUCA